GGGGGUUGACAUCUGCUGAGGCAUUACUUGUCCAGGACUAUUAACACACAUGACUCAGAUGGCUGGGCUAGAUUAGAACUGAGGAUUCCAAGCAGGACCCAGAGUGGAUGGUUCUGGAGGAGGGCCAUCAUCUGAGCAACCCCUGGAAGCUAAAGUGCUUCCACAAAGGAGACCCUGGUCCAAGCUCCUUCCUACAGUGUCUCAAAAAGGCAUGUACUUUAGGGGUUCCCAUGGGGACAAGACCAACAUAGAAAACACAUACUGAGUAAUUAAUGCCUUCACGACACAGGAGCUCACUGACAAUGCACUAGGACUUGUAGCAGUCACAGAGGAUUCUGUUCAUGGACUGGAGCAUUUUCUUUGUCCUGUUGACUGUUUGGACAAAUGUUUACAACCAAGAUGGUUGCUAAAUGUCUGAAUUCUGCUGAGGAGACUUUCUUCAUUUCCACAGAAGGAAGUGGUUUGGAUACAUUUUUCUCCCUCUCCUAUUUCCAAAUUAAUUUAAAACAAGCUGCAUAAAAAUUAUGACAUAAUUUUCUGGACUGCAGAAUCAAUGAGUUGCUCUCCUGAGAUGGUGAGUACAAACUAAGUCACCUGAUUCUGAGAGCCCACUCUUGGAAACCUGUGGUCUCUUUUGAGUAGUGAUGGGAAAAAUACUGAGAACCACUGGGCUAGAAGAUUCAGUUCUGACAACCAGGCAGUUUGAGUUCAUUUGGGUCUCUGACUUUUUCAGAUUUACAGUUAAAAAUUCUUUUUAUGUCUGUUUCUGCCA